AUGAACGCUGGCGGCGUGUUUUAGGCAUGCAAGUCAAGGGGGCUUCGUAGCAAUACGGAGCAACCGGCAAACGGGUGCGUAACACAUUGGUAACCUACCUCGGACCCGGGGAUAACUCCGCGAAAGCGGAGCUAAUACCCGAUGGUCCUUCUCACCGCAAGGUGAGAACGUAAACGGCGCAAGCCGGUCCGAGAGGGGCCUAUGGUCUAUCAGCUAGUUGGUGAGGUAAUGGCUCACCAAGGCAAUGACAGAUAGCGGGCGUGAGAGCGCGACCCGCCUCAGUGGGACUGAGACACUGCCCACACUCCUACGGGAGGCUGCAGUCAAGAAUCUUCCCCAAUGGACGAAAGUCUGAGGGAGCGACGCCGCGUGCAGGAAGAAACCCCUCGGGGCGUAAACUGCUUUUCUCUGGGAAUAACUCUGAAGGUACCAGAGGAAUAAGAGGCUGCUAACUUCGU
rnacentral:rRNA from 1 species